GUUGGUGUUGUGCAUCAAAAAUAAUUUUAACAUUCUAGUUUACCGAUUGGUUUACCGUAAUAAAUUAAGAUUAGUUUUAUAGAUAUCAAUAACAACUAAAUGUGGCAGUCUUGGAAAAAACCACGAGAGACGAGGGAGAGCGAGGGAGUGCCAAUAAUGUAACAAGCCAUAGAACAAAAGACAGUGGAAGAACAGUGGUAAGUAAUAGUACCUACUUACCAAAUGAAAUUAAAUGGUCUUCAAUUUAAAACUCAUUGUUAGUACUGUUUCUCUCAUGCAUGUAUAUUGCAAAUGGAUUUUGCUGAAUGCAUCACUAGAAUACUUAGUUAAUGGAAAAUAUAAUUUUAUACAUAGUGAUAUUGUUUUUAUAUUAUUACAUACUUGUAAGCUUAUUAUUUGGUAAAUAAAUGAGUAUUAAAAAUA